GACGAACGCUGGCGGCGUGCUUAACACAUGCAAGUCGAACGGAAAGGCCCUGCUUUUGUGGGGUGCUCGAGUGGCGAACGGGUGAGUAACACGUGAGUAACCUGACCUUGACUUUGGGAUAACUUCAGGAAACUGGGGCUAAUACCGGAUAGGAGCUCCUGCUGCAUGGUGGGGGUUGGAAAGUUUCGGCGGUUGGGGAUGGACUCGCGGCUUAUCAGCUUGUUGGUGGGGUAGUGGCUUACCAAGUCAUUGACGGGUAGCCGGCCUGGGAGGGUGACCGGCCACAUUGGGACUGAGAUACGGCCCAGACGCCUACGGGAGGCAGCAGUGGGGAAUAUUGCACAAUGGGCGGAAGCCGGAGACAGCAACGCCGCGUGCGGGAUGACGGCCUUCUGGUUGUAAACCGCUUUCGCCUGUGACGAAGCGUGAGUGACGGUAAUGGGUAAAGAAGCACCGGCUAACUACGUG
rnacentral:rRNA from 1 species